rnacentral:lncRNA from 1 species
AGUCGUUACCUGGAUCCCGCCCACCCUGUGUCGGCCGGAAACCACGGCCCGCCCGGGGUCGAAGUCCGGGCCCUGGGCCUGGUCCCCACCGCGGGCCCAGGCCCCACCCCCUCGACCCCCGGCGGCCCGGCCCUCCCCUUGCGCUCCUUUCCCCCUCCCACCAUUCACCACAGCCACUUCCGCCCGUCCUCCGGAAGUGGGCCCAAGGCAACCGCUGCCUUCCCACGUCCCGCCUAUUCUAUCCCACCCCACCCCCGCCCAUCACCACCGCCACUACGGGAGCGCGGGACGUGGGUCUGCAGUGCUGGAGGUUGUUCUACUGUCACUGUUCACAGGAUUGAAGUCGAGGUUUGGGCAGAGCCAGAUCUGGAUUCUAAUCUGCGAUCUGCUGUCAGGAGCUUGGAUUUGGGUUCUGUCUCCAGAGACCCAUCAUAUACCCUGACCAGAUCCUUCACCUUCUAUCUGAGGCAACUCCUCCUGGAAGAGCAGUUGAAAAGUACAUUGAAGAAAACAAUUACAACAAUUAAAGAAGAACUGGCCUUUUCAGAUGAUUAAGCCUGCAAAAUAAAUCAAAGUCAUUUUGUGGGCCUAUUAAGCUC